GACGAACGCUGGCGGCGUGCUUAACACAUGCAAGUCGAACGAUGAAGCCGGAGCUUGCUCCGGUGGAUUAGUGGCGAACGGGUGAGUAACACGUGAGCAAUCUGCCCUUGACUCUGGGAUAACUGCGGGAAACUGUAGCUAAUACCGGAUACGACACCUUGGGGCAUCCCAGGGUGUGGAAAGAAUUUCGGUCAAGGAUGAGCUCGCGGCCUAUCAGCUAGUUGGUGAGGUAAUGGCUCACCAAGGCGACGACGGGUAGCCGGCCUGAGAGGGUGACCGGCCACACUGGAACUGAGACACGGUCCAGACUCCUACGGGAGGCAGCAGUGGGGAAUAUUGCACAGUGGCGGAAGCCUGAUCCAGCAACGCCGCGUGAGGGAUGACGGCCUUCGGGUUGUAAGCCUUUUUCAGCAGGGACGAAGCGCAAGUGACGGUACCUGCAGAAGAAGCACCGGCCAACUACGUGCCAGCCGCCGCGGUAA
rnacentral:rRNA from 1 species